GAGGUUUCGGACGAAGCCAGUGUCGUGGACAAAUGCGGAACUAUGCGCUUGCUUAUGGACUUAUGGAUAUCUCUGUACCGUCUGCCGCUGGUUGUGUCAGCUCCUGUAAGCGUACGGGCCAACCAAACGACCCAAGAAGAGUUUGGAACAAAACGAGGGAGGAUCAAUUUGGUGUUGCAUUAUCUGGAUAGAGAGAGCUUCAUGACAACAUUUAAUUAGACCGAGAUUCUGAUCCUGCUUGUGUUUUACGCGAUGGGUGAGUUGUUUUGAUUCGUAAUGCGGCUUUCACAUAGGAUGCGGUGUGCGCUGCGCUCGCCGCUGGGUUCGGCGCAGCCAAGCGAUUUGUGCUUUGAUGGCCAGACCAAAGUAGGCGGGGUUUUCAAUAAAUUACUACAGUGUUUAUAUUUGCGUUAAAUAGUCGACGAGGAAUACAGAGACUGAUGUUGCUCGUCUCCAUUUCACAUAACUUUAAGCAUACCUACAACAAGCUGCUUGACUUAAAACACACCUGACAUGCCAACUUGAAUUGCUACGUGUUUCCAUGAGACGGCUUUCCUUCCGAUGUCUUUGUAGGAGCAUAAACUUGUAUAAUAAAGCCCUUGGAAUCCCGAGUAUAAGCUUUCGUCCAUUUUGCUUGUUUGGAUGCCCCGCUGCGCUCGCGCUUUGCUCGGCGCAACAAAAAACCGCCCUCGCGCGGCGCAAGCCAUUGAAAUGAAUGGGUUUCAUAGCGCAGCGCAGCGCACACCGCAUCCUAUGUGAAAGCCGCAUAACCCUUCAAAAAAACGUAUGCUAUUAUAUUGAUCACAACAUUAGUGUGUAGAUUGUAAUCAGCGCGUCUUCCCGCGGACGAUAUGCACAUCAAAGGUAGCCUAUUGUGAGAUUCUGAUUCUGCUUGUGUUUUACGCGAUGGGUGAGUUGUUUUGAUUCGUAACCCUUCAAAAAACGUAUGCUAUUAUAUUGAUCACAACAUUAGUGUAAUCAGCGCGUCUUUCCGCGGACGAUAUGCACAUCAAAAGGUAUUGUACAGCAAUAUAAAUGGUCAUUUUAAGACACUUCACAAUAAGAUUUGUACUGUCAAUACAUUAUGUGAAAAAUCAUUGUAGAUUGUAAGUUGAAAACUUAAUUCUGAGCUGUGUUUACUGUAGCAUAAUGACCUGAAUGCUCAUUGGUCCACAUUCUGAGUUAGGUGACGUCAUUCACCUGCGCUUGCAUUUAGGCUCAGCGUGUGCGUCUUCAGGAACGCUCGUCUGUUUGCUUUAUGCUGCACGCUGUUGUUACCGUUUCCAGCGUGUCUUUUGUUUGGGAACUCUCGCCUGUCUGUUUAAUGCUGCACGCUGCUGUAACCGCUAUUAGCGUGUUUGUUGUGAACUCUUGCCUUAUGGUUUGCUGCACACGGCUGUGACCGGUUUAAACGGAUGACAACUUUCUAGUUGCGUUUCCUUCCAACGUGGUUUUGGCUUAUUCGGAUGGCUGUUGUGCGGGCUUCUGUGGACUUCAGGUACGGUUCAUUUGUUGGUGCGUGAAUGACGACUGCAUUAAACUAUUGAGUGGGGGUGUCCUUUUGAGUGCCUGGCCCCGCAGUUACGGAGAACUACAGUUCGUGUAGUGUCAUCGCUGUUUUGUUAUAGGCCAGUUUGAUACUACUGACACAAUGUUGUGACACCGCUGUGCUUCAUCUCCUCCUGCAUAUUAUCUGUGUAUACGUAAUCCCUCAUUGGAGAUUAGGUCCAUACCAUAAGACUUUACAAUUGCCUCCUUUUGUUUUCUGUAUAUUUGUUUUGCAGAAUGAGUUAAAUUUCAGUUUUCUUUGUUUAAUUU